AUAUUGGCGAGAGACCGAUAGCGAACAAGUACCGUGAGGGAAAGAUGAAAAGCACUUUGGAAAGAGAGUUAAACAGCACGUGAAAUUGUUAAAAGGGAAACGAUUGAAGUCAGUCGUGUGAAAGGUAUUCAGCCGUCUCUGGCGGUGUAUUUGCCUUUCACGGGUCAACAUCAGUUUGAUCCGGUAGAAAAAGGCAAGAGGAAGGUGGCACCCUCGGGUGUGUUAUAGUCUCUUGUCAUAUGUGCCGGACCAGACUGAGGAACGCAGCUUGCCGCAAGGCCGGGGUUCGCCCACGUACAAGCUUAGGAUGUUGACAUAAUGGCUUUAAACGACCCGUCUUGAAACACGGACC
rnacentral:rRNA from 1 species